rnacentral:tRNA from 3 species
GGUCUUUUAGUUUAACUUUAAAAUGUAUAUUUUGUAAAUAUAUGAUAACUUUAGUGUUAAUGGCCU